rnacentral:rRNA from 1 species
UACGGAGGGUGCAAGCGUUGUCCGGAUUCAUUGGGUUUAAAGGGUGCGUAGGCGGGCCUAUAAGUCAGUGGUGAAAUCCAGCGGCUCAACCGUUGAAUUGCCAUUGAUACUGUAGGUCUUGAGUAGAGCCGAGGUGGCCGGAAUGUGUGGUGUAGCGGUGAAAUGCAUAGAUAUCACACAGAACACCUAUUGCGAAGGCAAGUCACUGGGCUUUUACUGACGCUGAGGCACGAAAGCGUGGGGAUCAAACAGG